rnacentral:lncRNA from 1 species
AAGGCUUCAUCUAAACCCCCUCCAUUCAUCGUACCCAGAAUCCACGCAGUGCAAGGAAACACCGGCUUUAGCUUUGGAACUGUUGCAGCUGCGGGUCUACAGGGCGGAUUACUUGCUAAAGCUGGCAUGUUUUCCUUCAGAAUAUGCCCACCUUCUGCUGAGAGCAAGACUGCGGGUCUCGACCAGACAGGAAAAGCUCCUGAGUCAACAGGAACUGCUUCCACAUUGUUACUUCCUGGAGGAUACAGGUUAAUAAAACUGCCCAUGUUUGUCAGUCCCAGCGUGAGCAGCCCGACCGCUUCUGUACCCGCCGUAUGCACCGAGAAAUCAACCGAAGACCCGAGCGCACACCAGUCCUCAGUCUCUAUUAAAACAGAACCAGGUGAAGAGCGCAGUGGCCUGCUCUCAGAAGACGGUGCUCCAGUUAUCAUUAAAGUAGAGUCUUACAGCGGCGACUCUUCAUCCAAACAUCCAUGCGCUGAGCCAGAGGAACGAUCGCUGCACAUUAAGAUCGAGGAUGAUACGGACCAGUCCACACAGAACAGCAAAGACUCAUCACACCGCGCCAAAAUAGAGGAGCCAGACCACGAGACGAUCACAGGCGUCAGUCAUCAUCUGAACACCUCUGAAAGCAGGGAUCGUGGUGUGAAAGACACAGACAGAUCCUCCUCUAAUACUGAAGUCAAGCAGCAUCUGAGAAGCCGAGAGGAGAGGAAGGACACAGCCAUUGGUGCUGGUUUAUUGUGCUCUGCAUUUGAGGGUCGCACCUCAUCGGUCUCACAGAGUUUCACUAAAACACACAAACCCGGAGCUGAGGAGAUCCAGAACCGGAGGAGAAAACAACAGGCUCCGGACGAUCCACGAGUGGAUUCUGCUGCUGAACUCAAUCAAUCCAGCAGCGCGUUCAUGUACUCCAGUGACGGAUGGACCACAGAAGACAGUGUAAGUCAGCUAAAAACACUGGUUUCUUGAUUUCAAGCGAUUCACAUUUUUCUUAAAUUAUGAGAAUCGAUCAGUGCUGUUUUUAGUUGAUGUGUGAACAUAACCUCUAACCCAGUCAUCUCAACAAGCUUCGUUACUUUUGAAACAAAGUCUCAGCGUUCAAAUUCAGUCAGUUCUAUAAUGAAAUUCAAUCAAUAAACAUGAAUGUACGUCAGAAGGUGUUGAUAGAAACAGAACUCACUAAAAUCUGUGAUUCAGCUGCAGAAAGACNNNNNNNNNNNNNNNNNNNNNNNNNNNNNNNNNNNNNNNNNNNNNNNNNNNNNNNNNNNN